GGUUUUUUACUGAAAACUGUCCAAAACUUGUAUGUCAAUUAUUUGCAUUAGUUUGUAAAUGUAUGGCCCGUCUCAGAAUAAUACAUUCCGUACUCCAUUAUCCCUGAAAGCCAAUUCAAUGUGUUUUUGCAAUACGUCGAAACGGUGUGUCGACCUAAAAUAUCCUUUUAAGGUUUUGCACAGGAAGCUAUUUGCUCGGUGAACCUGAGAACUCUGAAUAAUAUGGAAGCUUCGAAUGGCCAAGCAUUAAUGCUGAAAUGAGCUAAAAUAGGAACCGGAACAAUCACCAGUGUUUUUAAAAUGUGAUAAAAUUAAAGUUUAAAAAACAAGCUUCCUUCUAAAACAGACGCCAUAUAGUGGCUACUUGUCUUUCCUCCAAUCAAAAACUCCUUAUAUUCCUUAAUUUUGGCAAUGUAAACAAAUUGUUAAUUUAAUAUGUUCCGGUACAAGUUUGUUUUUUAACUGAAGUAUGAAAAAAUAUAAUGUUAUAUUAGAUAUAUACACAUAAUCUC